GAUGAACGCUAGCGGCAGGCCUAAUACAUGCAAGUCGAACGGUGUCUUCGGACAUAGUGGCGCACGGGUGCGUAACACGUAUGCAACCUACCUUACAUUGGGGGAUAGCCUUUCGAAAGGGAGAUUAAUACCGCAUAAGACAGUAGCUGGGCAUCCAGCAGCUGUUAAAGCUUUAUCGAUGUAAGCUGGGCAUGCGUCCAAUUAGCUAGUUGGUGAGGUAACGGCUCACCAAGGCAAUGAUUGGUAGGGGAACUGAGAGGUCAAUCCCCCACACUGUCACUGAGAUACGGGCCAGACUCCUACGGGAGGCAGCAGUAGGGAAUAUUGGGCAAUGGACGCAAGUCUGACCCAGCCAUGCCGCGUGCAGGAUGAAGGCGUUAUGCGUUGUAAACUGCUUUUAUACAGGAAGAAACGACUCUUGCGAGAGGCAUUGACGGUACUGUAUGAAUAAGCACCGGCUAACUCCGUGCCAGCAGCCGCAGUAACAC
rnacentral:rRNA from 1 species